rnacentral:misc_RNA from 1 species
UCUCCGUUGGUGAACCAGCGGAGGGAUCAUUACAGGACUCGCAAGACUCCUUCACCCUGUGAACCUCACUACAAGCACGUUGCUUCGGCGGGUGUCCCGGCGGGGGUUUUCCCUCGCCGGGGCGCACAGCCCGCCGGCAGCCUACUAUACUCUGUCUCUUUGCGUUGGCAUCUCGAGAAAAAACAAACAAGUUAAAACUUUCAAUAACGGAUCUCUUGGUUCUG